GACGAACGCUGGCGGCGUGCCUAAUACAUGCAAGUAGAACGCUGAAGGAGGAGCUUGCUUCUCCGGAUGAGUUGCGAACGGGUGAGUAACGCGUAGGUAACCUGCCUGGUAGCGGGGGAUAACUAUUGGAAACGAUAGCUAAUACCGCAUAACAGUAGAUAUUGCAUGAUAUCUGCUUGAAAGGUGCAAUUGCAUCACUACCAGAUGGACCUGCGUUGUAUUAGCUAGUUGGUGAGGUAACGGCUCACCAAGGCGACGAUACAUAGCCGACCUGAGAGGGUGAUCGGCCACACUGGGACUGAGACACGGCCCAGACGCCUACGGGAGGCAGCAGUAGGGAAUCUUCGGCAAUGGACGGAAGUCUGACCGAGCAACGCCGCGUGAGUGAAGAAGGUUUUCGGAUCGUAAAGCUCUGUUGUAAGAGAAGAACGAGUGUGAGAGUGGAAAGUUCACACUGUGACGGUAUCUUAACAGAAAGGGACGGCUAACUACGUG
rnacentral:rRNA from 1 species